GGGGAGCUGGGGGGAGCUGGGCGGCCCCCGGAGCUGGGAGAGUCCGCGGCGGCGCUUCCGCCAGAGAGACAGGCUUUCGUCAGCAGCCUGGAACCCCUGACCUCAAGUGAUCCGCCCAUCCAGGCCUUCCAAAGUGCUGGGAUUACAGGCAUGAGCCACUGCGCCCAGCCUGGAAUGUCUUAUCUUUUCCCAGUAAAUAAAACGACGGACCCUGAACAGAAGAAGGAAAACUAGCAAACCCCACAGCCUGGAGCUUGGCUGUACCUUGAGCUCACCCCCCUGGAACUGGCAGUUUGGUGAGGGAUGGAAUUUUGAGUUGAGAGCUGGCCUUGGAUUUUGAAGGCUUAGCCCCCCGUCUCUUGCCGGCACUGCUGCUGCUGAGAAACGAAUGUCUCCGGAUUCCUGAGCCAGAGUCCAGGCUGCUUCAUGUUUCCCUGAGAGCUUUCCGGCGUUUU